UACGAAGGGGGCUAGCGUUGCUCGGAAUCACUGGGCGUAAAGGGCGCGUAGGCGGCCAUUCAAGUCAGAGGUGAAAGCCCAAGGCUCAACCUUGGAACUGCCUUUGAUACUGUUUGGCUUGAGACCGGUAGAGGUAAGUGGAACUGCGAGUGUAGAGGUGAAAUUCGUAGAUAUUCGCAAGAACACCAGUGGCGAAGGCGGCUCACUGGCCCGGAACUGACGCUGAGACGCGAAAGCGUGGGGAGCAAACAGG
rnacentral:rRNA from 1 species